rnacentral:rRNA from 1 species
AUUGAACGCUAGCGGGAUGCUUUACACAUGCAAGUCGAACGGCAGCUCGGACUUCGGUCUUGCUGCGAGUUGCGAACGGGUGAGUAAUGUAUCGGAACGUGCCCAGUAGCGGGGGAUAACUACGCGAAAGCGUAGCUAAUACCGCAUACUCCCUACGGGUGAAAGCAGUGGUUCGUAAGACCUUGCACUAUUGGAGCUGCCGAUAUCGUAUUAGCUAGUUGGUGAGUUAACUGCUCACCAAGGCGACGAUCGGUAGCUGGCUUGAGAGGACGACCAGCAAAACUGGAAUGGAGCAACGGCCAAGACCCCUCCGGGAGGAAGAAGAGGGGAACUUUGGCAAUUGGCGGCAAUCCUGACCCAGAAAUCCCGCGUGUGGGAUGAAGGCCUUCGGGUUGUAAAGCACUUUUGGCAGGAAAGAAACGUCGCGGGCUAAUAACCCGUGGAACUGACGGUACCUGAAGAAUAAGCAACGGCUAACUACGUG